UUUUAGGGAGACCCGCUUUUCAGUUAGCUAGAAUCAGUUAGUUAGUAACUGAUAACUGAAGAGCUAUCCCAAGGUCGUUCAUUAGUCAACAGUGUAAACUUUCAAACUAUUUUUGGUUCAUUUUAAUUGUCUAAUAUAAUUUUAUAAGGAAAGUUAAUAAGUUAGCUCUGAAUACUAGAGUGGAUUUAUUAAUAGCUCAAGUAAAAAUUAUAUUUAUCCAUAAUCUGUAAGGAAAUAAAGUUUCAGCAUCUUGUGAUAGAAAGCAAGAAUGCUGGGAGAGUUUCCAGCAAAAGAACCUUGAAAACUGCAUAGAAACGCGAAAAAUGUCAGGUAGUUAACUAUCAACAACAGUUAACACUCCAAGCAAGAACAGCAAUGACUGUUUGU
rnacentral:misc_RNA from 1 species